rnacentral:rRNA from 1 species
UACGUAGGGUGCAAGCGUUAAUCGGAAUUACUGGGCGUAAAGCGUGCGCAGGCGGCUUUGCAAGACAGAUGUGAAAUCCCCGGGCUUAACCUGGGAACUGCAUUUGUGACUGCAUGGCUGGAGUGCGGCAGAGGGGGAUGGAAUUCCGCGUGUAGCAGUGAAAUGCGUAGAUAUGAGGAACACCGAUGGCGAAGGCAAUCCCCUGGGCCUGCACUGACGCUCAUGCACGAAAGCGUGGGGAGCAAACAGG